rnacentral:rRNA from 1 species
UGGCGAACGGGUGAGUAAUGAGUACGAACAUACCUCUUUGUGGAGCAUAGCUCGCCGAAAGGCGAGGUAAUUUUCCAUGUUGUCCUUCGGGACUAAAGACGAAAGUCGCGAAGAGAGUGGCGUACUUGCUACCAGCUAGUUGGUGGGGUAAAAGCCUACCAAGGCUAUGACGGCUACCGGCUCUUAGCGGAGAGUCCGGCACAAUGGGACUGAGACACGGCCCAUACACCUACGGGUGGCAGCAGUUAGGAAUUUUGCGCAAUGGACGAAAGUCUGACGCAGCGACAUCGCGUGUAGGAUGAAGGCCUUCGGGUCGUAAACUACUUUUCUUUGAUACUACUUUCAGAGGAAUAAGCAACUACUAACUACGUGCCAGCAGUCGCGGUAAUACGUAGGUUGCGAGCGUUACCCGGUUUUAUUGGGCGUAAAGAGUCUGUAGGUGGUUUUUUAAGUCUUAUUUCAAAGAUCUCGGCUUAACCGAGAAAAGGGGUAGGAUACUGGAAGACUAGAGUGAUAUCGGGGUUACUGGAAUUUGUAGUGUAGGGGUAAAAUCCGUGGAUACUACAAAGAACACCAAGCGCGAAGGCGGGUAACCAGGUAUAUACUGACACUCAGAGACGAAAGCUAGGGUAGCAAAUCAGAUUAGAGACCUGAGUAGUCCUAGCCGUAAACAUUGUCUGUUAAUUCUUCCUCGAUUUAUCGGGGGGGGAUGUAAGCUAACGCGUUAAACAGACCGCCUGGGGAGUAUAGCCGCAAGGCCGAAACUCAAACGAAUUGGCGGGGAGGCGCACAACCAGUGGAGCAUGUGGUUCAAUUCG